rnacentral:rRNA from 1 species
CGGGGCAUCACAGAGGGUGAUAAUCCCGUAUGUGCUAGGCCGUCAAUCCCUUGUGAAACUCCUUCGACGAGUCGAGUUGUUUGGGAAUGCAGCUCUAAAUGGGUGGUAAAUGCCAUCUAAAGCUAAAUACCGGCCAGAGACCGAUAGCGCACAAGUAGAGUGAUCGAAAGAUGAAAAGCACUUUGAAAAGAGAGUUAAAAAGUACGUGAAAUUGUUGAAAGGGAAGCGCUUGCAGCCAGACUUAGCUGGGGUGAUCAACCGUGCUUCGGUGCGGUGCACUCGCCCCCAGCUAGGCCAGCAUCGAUUUGGGCGGUCAGAUAAAGGCCCCGGGAACGUAGCUCCUCGGAGUGUUAUAGCCCGGGGCAUAAUGUGGCCAGCCCGGAUCGAGGCCCGCGCUCUGCUAGGAUGCUGGCAUAAUGGCUGUCAGCGACCCGUCUUGAAACACGGACUAAGGAGUCGACCAAUUUUGCGAGUGUUUGGGUGUGAAACCCACACGCGUAAUGAAAGUGAACGGAGGUGAGAAGCUUCGGCUGCAUCAUCGACCGAUCCUGAUGUCUUCGGAUGGAUUUGAGUAAGAGCACAGUUGGUCGGACCCGAAAGAGGGUGAUCUAUACUUGAAUAGGGUGAAGCCAGAGGAAACUCUGGUGGAGGCUCGCAGCGGUUCUGACGUGCAAAUCGAUCGUCAAAUUUGAGUAUAGGGGC